rfam:Pterocles gutturalis contig68168, whole genome shotgun sequence.
CUAGGAGAGCCGAAAACAGUUCUAGACUGACCUGCGGUUUUAUAGCACUUUGGCAGUCAACUUCAGCUUGUGUCAGAGCAGACAUGACAGAGCUGCCCAACGCUUAAACGCGGGACGCCACCUCCUCGGACUCACUGCAGCCCCCCUCUUGCAUGUCAAUAAAUUUCAAACCUUGGGGCUAGAAAUGGGGAGCAGAGCUG